UACGUAGGGGGCAAGCGUUUGUCCGGAAUUAUUGGGCGUAAAGAGCGUGUAGGCGGUCCGAUAAGUCGGCUGUGAAAGUCCAGGGCUCAACCCUGGAAGGCCGGUGGAAACUGUCGGGCUAGAGUCCGGAAGAGGCGAGUGGAAUUCCCGGUGUAGCGGUGAAAUGCGCAGAUAUCAGGAAGAACACCCGUGGCGAAAGCGGCUCUCUGGAACGGUACUGACGCUGAGACGCGAAAGCGUGGGGAGCGAACAGG
rnacentral:rRNA from 1 species